UGGAUUCUUCAGGUGACUUUUGUGUUUGGUGAGAAGCUUGUGCCUCCAGUAAGGUGUGUGAGGAUGCUCUGCUGUUUGCGGACUGGUUAUACUGGGACAGAGAGGCUGAGUGGACCACAGGGACCAGAGACGUUGAACCUGGAGCAGCUCCUUGAGGACCCAGAGGUGCACAUGGCUCACAGAAGCAUUCAGAGAGGACAAAGAGGCAGAAUAUCAGGAUACAUGACUGACGGGGAAAAGGCUCGCUGGGCAGCACAAAAGCUCCUGUGAUGAUUGACAGGGUCUUUAUUUGUUACUCUAAAAAAAAAAGAAGCAGUGUAUUUUUAACGGUGGAUGGUGGGUGAAUAAAAUGCAGGAUCAUGUUUCA